UACGGGGGGAGCAAGCGUUGUUCGGAUUUACUGGGCGUAAAGGGCGCGUAGGCGGCGUAACAAGUCACUUGUGAAAUCUCCGGGCUUAACCCGGAGCGGCCAAGUGAUACUGUUGUGCUAGAGUGCGGUAGGGGAGAUUGGAAUUCCUGGUGUAGCGGUGGAAUGCGCAGAUAUCAGGAGGAACACCGAUGGCGAAGGCAGAUCUCUGGGCCGUAACUGACGCUGAGGAGCGAAAGCGUGGGGAGCGAACAGG
rnacentral:rRNA from 1 species